AGGGCUCAGAGGUCGGAACGG
rnacentral:misc_RNA from 1 species